rnacentral:tRNA from 1 species
GUCGGAGUGGUGAAAUGGUAGACACGCAGCGUUUAGGGCGCUGUGGGCUUUGCCCGUGGAGGUUCAAAUCCUCUCUCCGGCAC